rnacentral:rRNA from 1 species
AGGGAAUCUUGGACAAUGGGCGAAAGCCUGAUCCAGCCAUGCCGCGUGAGUGAUGAAGGCCUUAGGGUUGUAAAGCUCUUUCGCCAGGGAAGAUAAUGACGGUACCUGGAUAAGAAGCCCCGGCUAACUUCGUGCCAGCAGCCGCGGUAAUACGAAGGGGGCUAGCGUUGUUCGGAAUUACUGGGCGUAAAGCGCACGUAGGCGGCUUUCCAAGUUGGAGGUGAAAUCCCCGGGCUUAACCCGGGAACUGCCUCCAAAACUGAAAGGCUAGAGUCCGAGAGAGGUGAGUGGAAUUUCCAGUGUAGAGGUGAAAUUCGUAGAUAUUGGGAGGAACACCAGUGGCGAAGGCGCCUUUCUGGACUGUGUCUGACGCUGAGAUGCGAAAGCCAGGGUAGCGAAC